AUGGAGCCUAUGAAGGUGUACGGCUGGGCGGUGUCGCCAUGGAUGGCGCGGGUCCUCGUCUCCCUGGAGGAGGCCGGCGCCGAGUACGAGCUCGUGCCCAUGAGCCGCAACGGCGGCGACCACCGGCGGCCGGAGCACCUCGCCAGAAACCCCUUCGGUGAGAUCCCGGUGCUCGAAGACGGCGGUCUGACGCUUUACCAAUCCCGCGCCAUUGCAAGGCAUAUUCUCCGCAAACACAAGCCCGGGCUUCUAGGAGCAGGCAGCCUCGAGGAGUCGGCGAUGGUGGAUGUAUGGGUCGACGUGGAUGCCCACCAGCUGGAGCCCGUACUCAAGCCCAUCGUGUGGAACUGCAUCAUCAACCCGUUCGUCGGGAGGGACGUCGACCAGGGCCUCGUCGAUGAGAGCGUCGAGAAGCUCAAGAAGCUGCUGGAGGUGUACGAGGCAAGACUGUCAAGCAACAAGUACUUGGCCGGGGAUUUCGUCAGCUUCGCCGACCUCACCCAUUUCUCCUUCAUGCGCUACUUCAUGGCGACGGAGCAUGCGGUUGUGCUCGAUGCGUAUCCGCAUGUGAAGGCAUGGUGGAAGGCGCUGCUGGCAAGGCCAUCGGUCAAGAAGGUGAUAGCUGGCAUGCCUCCGGAUUUUGGAUUCGGGAGCGGGAGAAUACCAUGA
rnacentral:rRNA from 1 species